AAAAUGCGAUAAGUAAUGUGAAUUGCAGAAUUCAGUGAAUCAUCGAAUCUUUGAACGCACAUUGCGCCCGCCAGUAUUCUGGCGGGCAUGCCUGUUCGAGCGUCAUUUCAACCCUCAAGCCCCCGGGUUUGGUGUUGGGGAUCGGGCUGCGGUUCUACCGCGUCCCGGCCCCGAAAUCUAGUGGCGGUCUCGCUGCAGCCUCCAUUGCGUAGUAGCUAACACCUCGCAACUGGAACGCGGCGCGGCCAAGCCGUUAAACCCCCAACUUCUGAAUGUUGACCUCGGAUCAAGUAGGAAUACCCGCUGAACUUAAGC
rnacentral:misc_RNA from 1 species